UGAGGAAUAUUGGUCAAUGGGCGGAAGCCUGAACCAGCCAUGCCGCGUGCAGGACGACGGCUCUAUGAGUUGUAAACUGCUUUUAUACUAGGGUAAUUAAUCUUACGUGUAGGGUUUUGAAAGUAUAGUAUGAAUAAGGAUCGGCUAACUCCGUGCCAGCAGCCGCGGUAAUACGGAGGAUCCGAGCGUUAUCCGGAUUUAUUGGGUUUAAAGGGUGCGUAGGUUGCACAAUAAGUUAGCGGUCAAAUACACGGGCUUAACCUGUGAGUGCCGUUAAGACUGUUGAGCUAGAGAAUGGUUGCAGCAGGCGGAAUGUGUAGUGUAGCGGUGAAAUGCAUAGAUAUUACACAGAACACCGAUUGCGAAGGCAGCUUGCUAAGUCAUAUCUGACACUGAAGCACGAAAGCGUGGGUAGCGAACG
rnacentral:rRNA from 1 species